rnacentral:rRNA from 1 species
GCUACACAUGCAGUCGAGCGGAACGAGAAGUAGCUUGCUACUUCGGCGUCGAGCGGCGGACGGGUGAGUAAUGCCUGGGAAAUUGCCUUGAUGUGGGGGAUAACCAUUGGAAACGAUGGCUAAUACCGCAUAAUGCUUUUGUUUGUAAUGAACAGGAGCCAAAGAGGGGGACCUUCGGGCCUCUCGCGUCAAGAUAUGCCCAGGUGGGAUUAGCUAGUUGGUGAGGUAAUGGCUCACCAAGGCGACGAUCCCUAGCUGGUCUGAGAGGAUGAUCAGCCACACUGGAACUGAGACACGGUCCAGACUCCUACGGGAGGCAGCAGUGGGGAAUAUUGCACAAUGGGCGCAAG